GGAGAACCAAGAAAAAUAGUUGUAAAUUGCUGGGUGCUUGUAAGUGCUAGAGAUACUGCUCACAUGUACAUAUGUUUGCAUUUAAAUGCUCACAAAAGCCCUACAAGAAACAUGGGACUUAGACAUAAUUUAUUAUUGAUUAUCCAAAGUAGGAUUGGAAUCUUCAUCGUAAAAUCCUGGAUUCAUAACCAUUCUGCUAUAAUGCCUCUGAGAGAACAGAAAAUGAACUUUUCUGGCUCAAAGGUUUUGCAAAUUCUUCAUAAAAUGAAGGAAACGUGAAUUCACCUCCCAACCCCUCAGCAUGACAUCUUCUCUCCAGCACAAAUCACAGCCUAGUUGUUUGCUGCAUAAACCUUUUAUUGGCUGCCCUUUCCUUAGGACGAGAGCAAAACCUUUGACUUGACCCGUACCAUCAGCCUGGACUCUGCUGAUUCCUGCCCUCACCUCUAGUUUGCUUCUCUUCAGCCCACCUACUGGACUAGAUCCCUAUCUAUCUCAGGACAUCUUGCAAAAGUUGUUCCCUUUGCAGAAACUGUCUCCUUACCACCAGUCUCUAACCACCACAUGUGUGCAUGCAUGCAUACACACACAAAAACAUACAUGGUUCUCUUGAUAUGUCUUGUAUUUCUCCUUCAAAGAAAUAUUGUGUGAUUAUUUGAUGAAUGCCUGUCUCUCCCACUGGGACCAUCAGUUUAGAAAUGAUGUGGAUAUGCUCACCAAGUUAUUUGCAGAGCUUAGCAGAGUGGGAUAGAAGAGGUAUGGAACAAAUAUUUAUUGACUAAAUGGACGAAUGAGUGAGUGAAUGAAUAUAAGCUCCCUGCUACUAUACCUGGGCUGUGCAUGUUCUCAGUAUUACAUCCAACCUGGUCCUGGUUUUUCCCUCUGCCUAUCCUAUCCCUCUUUUUACCCCUAACCAAACAGCUUUCCUAACCUCUUCAGCCCCUCCGAUUGUCAGCUCACUUGGAAGUUCAUGGAGGGUAGGAACAGCCUCUCAUUUCUUCAGUGGCUGUCUCAGCGUCUAGCAAGGGGCCGUGGACUUAGUCAGUACCCAGCAUUUAUACUGAGUGAAUUCAUUUGGACAACUGCUGGCUAUCAACCUGCCUCCUUCUUUUUGCAGACCCACGCCGGAGACCUCACCAGGUGCACAUAUUUCCUGCUGCUGAAUGGCUUAGACUGGGAUUUGCAAGGAAUCACGAAGUUCAAGACCUCUGCCUUUCUUUUAGAAGAAGGCACCAGCUGGUUCUCCAAUGUUGAAGGUCUUCUCCAGAGAUGAACUCUGAAAGCCGCAUGUUGAGAUGGCCUCAUUACAGAUGGAGAGCGCCUGAACCCCCAAGUUAAGGAACAGCAGAAGAGAGUUGCCCUGGAAAAUCAUCUGACCCACAUUGGACUUUAUGUGAGGGAGAAAUAAACCUUUAUUAUGUUAAGCUACACAAUAAUAAUAAUAAUAACAAUAAUUGUGUUUAUUUGUUACCUCAGCUUAGCAUGGCCUUCCUACCUGACACACAUCUCUGGGUUUUGCUCUUCUCUGCAUUGGUUUAAUUCUCAGGCAGGUUCUCCCUCCGGGCUCCUGGGCUCACACCCCCAUGUCCAGCAGAAUGAGCCACUUCUCUAGAUUCAUGAACCAUGAAUCUAGAGAGGGCAGCCUGAGGAAUGUGCUGACUGGCCAGGCAUGGGUCAGGUGCCCUCCAGGGCAAGACUGAUACUGGGUUUUCCAGAGAAAAAUGGGGACACUGGUAUCAGAAGAAAGGUGAGCAUCAAGACCAAGAUGUCCACACAGGUCUGGUGAGUCCCCACCUCAGUGAUAGUCCCCCUGCACGGCCAUGGAUGAAGG
rnacentral:lncRNA from 1 species